rnacentral:lncRNA from 1 species
AACCACAAAAGCUAGCUUGAGAGUUGAGGUUUGCACUACACUUAUAAAAGCUAUCUUUACCAUAUCUCUAGCCAAUGUGAGAAUUAGAAUUUAUGAGGCCUAUACUCAACCACAAAAGCUAGCUUGAGAGUUGAGGUUUGCACUACACUUAUAAAGGCUAUCUUUACCAUAUCUCUAGCCAAUGUGGGACUUCUAACACACCCCCUCACGUCCAGAACUGAACAAGCUGGAACGUAAAAUCAACAACAACGGGUGGCCCAAAUAUGGGAGGUCUCCACAACAAACAACAAAUGGAUCUAGGAUAGGCUCUGAUACCAUAUUAGAAAAUAAUAAGUGAA